rnacentral:rRNA from 1 species
UACGGGGGGGGCAAGCGUUGUUCGGAAUUACUGGGCGUAAAGGGCUCGUAGGCGGCCAACUAAGUCGGAUGUGAAAUCCCUCGGCUUAACCGGGGAACUGCAUCUGAUACUGGAUGGCUUGAGUUCGGGAGAGGGAUGCGGAAUUCCAGGUGUAGCGGUGAAAUGCGCAGAUAUCAGGAGGAACACCAAUUGCGAAGGCAGCUCGCUGGGACGUUACUGACGCUGAGACGCGAAAGCGUGGGGAGCAAACAGG